rnacentral:rRNA from 1 species
ACAUGCCUACAAUAUAGCAUUAAUGCACUGAAUCUCAUCAGAACUCCAUAAUUAAACACACUUGGGCUAGAGUAGCACUAGGAUGGGUGACUUCCCGAGAAGCCCUAGUGUUGCACCCU